AACUGCAAUAAUAACAAAUUACAAGAGUUAUAAUAUUAUUUUAACUCGCGCGCUAGGCAGACGCAUACUCGUUUCGUAGUUUCCGUCGUGGUACCUAAACAUUAUAUUAUUUAUAAUGUUAUCAUUCCGAAGAAAAUUAGGACUGAAAACCGCGUAUUUUUCGGGGUAUAAUUUUCUUCCGAUAUUUUCUCGUUGUAUACAGAGUCCAUGUAAAUGAAAAUCCCUCCUAAACCGGUUACCACUAACCUGGUUAGCGCGCGU